UACGGAGGGUGCAAGCGUUAAUCGGAAUUGCUGGGCGUAAAGCGCACGCAGGUGGCUGAGUCAGUCGAUUGUGAAAGCCCUGGGCUUAACCUGGGAAUUGCAGUCGAUACUACUCAGCUAGAGUAUGGGAGAGGGUAGUGGAAUUCCCGGUGUAGCGGUGAAAUGCGUAGAGAUCAGCAGGAAUACCCGUGGCGAAGGCGGCCCCCUGGGCCGUACCUGACGCUGAGGAGCGAAAGCGUGGGGAGCGAACAGG
rnacentral:rRNA from 1 species